UGAUUUCAGUGACUCAGUUUGAGGAUUUUUAUGAUUUUUUUACCCACAAUCAGAGACUUGACCACAAUCUGAGCUGAGUCAGAAACAUCCAAACAGUCGGACUAAUAAAUGUGAUUAUUAUUAUUAGAGUGAUUGAAAAGCUCAUAACAACAUGUAGAUCUGUCCAAAGUCUGAUUCUAGAUGUCUUUACAAACACACUGAUCCAACAGAAGCAGACAGAAAUAUCCAUCGAUCACAUGAACACAAAUAUUCAGCAAACAGAGAAAGAAACAGAUCAUCUGAAGAGUUUUUGGGGACGACUGGAAAGACUUUAGACGCUUGGAUUUGGGACAGGAAAUAAGGUCGUCCUUUUUCUGUGAUUUUGACCUCACUUUUUUCUAAAGUCUCAGACCUUCAACAUCUGCACCAACUGAAGGUGAUUUGAACAAACCAUCAUCUUGAUGUUGUUGAUAUCAAACUGUAUGAAGAUUUUUCAACAUGAGAAAUACAAACAAUCAAAGUUCUCCACAAUCACUGUCCUUAAAGCUGCGACCAAAUCAGCAUCUUUAGAAAAGAAUCAAAAAGCUGAAAUGAAGAACUAAACCCAGAGUUUUUGGUGAGACUGAUCCACAAACAUUUACAAACCAGAACAUUUCAAGAGUUCAAGGAUCUCAGUCCAUGAUUUUGGUCUGAUGGACUCAAAAUUCUCUUUAGUUCACUUCUAUAAACUCAGCAGAGCCUCCAGUAUAGAGUCCAGCAUGUAGAGGUUCAGUGAAUGUGGUCUGGACUCUGUGGAGGAGAGUCAUGGUUUCAGAGACGCUGUAGAAGGACAGAAUACCUGCUCUGUGAUCCAGGUACACUCCUACUCUGGAGGACGGAGGACCUGAGACAGGAGUGAAGACUUUGUUGUGAUCAAAUCUAUAACUGUCUUUAGAACAGACUAAACUCCAAGAUUUGUCAUUUCCUCCAAAUUUACAAUCCUCUGAUCUCCCUCCUCUCCUGAUAGUCUUGUAUGCGACUGCUACACCAACCCUGUCCCCUCUCCGCUCCACCUCCCAGUAACAACGUCCAGUCAGACUCUCUCUACUCAGGACCUGAAGACAACCAGUGAAUCUGUCUGGAUGAUCAGGAUAAGACUGUAGUUGUGUCAAUGUUGCUCUUCUGUUUCCAUCAGAUAAUAUCAGAUAUCUGUUUACUGUGUUUGGAUCCAGUGUGAUUCUUUGUGAAUAUCUUAAGAAACCAGCUCUGGUCUUGGGUUCUGCUGGUCCUGGUGGUUCUAACAGUAAAACAUCCACUUCAGUCUCUGCCUGUGAGACGUUUGUCCACGUCUCUGUCAGAAGAUCCUGGAGUUUCUCUCUGAGCUCUGACACAGCUGCUGUCACCUCCUCAAAGUAUCUCAGAGGACGGAUGUUGAUCCUGGAUGAGUCUGCAGGUUGACCCGGUUCUGACAGUGAGGGGUAGCUGUGCAGAAACUGGUUGUGGUCCUCUGUGAGUGAGAGCUUCUGCAGAUCAGCGUCUUUCCUCUUCAGCUCAGUGAUCUCCUGCUCCAGUUUCUCCUGAAGCUCUUUGACUCGACUCACUUCACGUUCCUGCUGGGAUCUGACCUGCUGCUCCACCUCAGAGCGGCGUUUCUCCAUCAGACGGAUCAGCUGGAUGAAGAUCUCCUGGCUGUGGUCCACAGCUUUAUCAGCAGAGCCGUUGAUAGCCUCCACCUCCUGUUGGAGCAGCUUCACAUCUUCUUCUCUGUCCUGGAUUCUCUGCUGGAUGUUUCCUCGACUCUCCUCCAGAUCUUUCUGCCUCUCAGUCCUUUCUGCUGCAGCUGAGACUGUGUCGUGACCUUUGUGUUGGUCCAAACAGCAGAGAGAACAGAUGGACUUCUGAUCAGUGCGGCAGAAGAUCUUCAUCACCUCAUCAUGACGAGAGCAGAUGUUCUCCUGGAGCUUCUUGGAGGGCUCCACCAGCUUGUGUUUCUUUAAUGGAGUAACUUCAAAAUGAGGCUGGAGGUGAAUCUGACAGUAAGAAACCAGACAUUGAAGACAGGACUUGACAGCUUUCAGUUUUCUCCCUCUGCAGAAAUCACAGGCCACAUCUUCAGGUCCAGCCUCAGAGGAACCAUCAGGAGCAGCUUGGAGUCCGCUCUUCUUCACUUCCUCCACUAAACCUGCUAACAUGGUGUUUUUUAUUGGGACAGGCCUCGGUAUGAAGGUCUCUCUGCACUGAGGACAGCUGUAGAUCUUCUUCUCAUCCUCAGUAUCCCAGUGGGAUUGAAUACAGCUCAUGCAGAAGCUGUGUCCACAGGUGAGAGUCCCCGGAUCCUUCAGAAGAUCCAAACAGAUGGAACAAGAGAGAGACUCACGGUCCAGAUGAACUCCUUUCUGCGCCAUUUCAACACUCGCUGUCGACGACGACUGACUGAGUUUUAUUUCCUGAGAAGUCAAACUAGUCUGAGCUCUGAUCUCAACAACAGGUGUGAGUCAGCAGGAUAUGACCUCAGCACACGGAGGUUACACCCAACCUUUAGGCUGUAGAUCUGAGGGGAGGGAGGAAGGGGAGGGAACAAGGAAGUGAGAGUGCAGAGUGAAGUGAGCUGUAAGAGAGACGAGGGAGGGAGGGAUCCAGUUUGUCUACAAUCCAGGAUGAGGAGCGUCUCUGUGAACUUUAGACUCUCAAACUCCGACAAGCAGAAGUUCUUAAAGCUGCAGCCGUCCUGAAGAUCAACUGAACCAACAUUUAUUCACCUCAUAGAAACCUCAUCGAGCAGAAACACACUUCAACUGUUUUAGAGACACAGAGUUAAAGAGACAACACAGAGAAACACUCUCUCUCUCUCUCUCUCUCUCUCUAUCUCUCUCUCUCUCCCGCUCGCUCGUAUCGUUCCAAUUAAAUUCAGAUAUAAUGCAGAUAAAUACUUCAGAUCAUUACAAAUGGGGCCCAGUCAAGGUGAAAGUCAAAAGCAUUGGUGCUACUGUAGAUGCCAACAGACUACCAGCAAACACAAUGUUUGCAGGACUUCUACAACGAGGAUAAAGUGACAUAGUCCAGGACCCGAGGGAGGACAGUUUAGCGAUGGCGCUACAACACGCUACAGCAGGUCCGUUUGACAAGAAACACUUCUGUUACAGACACUUGUCUUACUUUGUUAAAGCGGUUUACCUGUCCAGCAGAAAGCUUACAGGGUCACCAAGAUCCCCAAGCGUCCCCCAUCGUUUAUGUUGACCCGGCUUUUUAGCUCUUGUCCGGUCUACCUCCGUUUUAAGCGCCCGUUAUUCCUCCAGAGUCUCCGGUAUUUACUUUGUUUUCUUGCUUGUGUCGGCAGUCGUGGCCAAAGGAGGAUUCAGACAAUUUUCCGAACUUUCUGGUUGGUUUCUACUGUCCGAUAUUGUAGCACGCUAACUUUGUUUGGGCUCCUGAACGACACGGGGGAGCAGCAUUUUCUUGCUGACUGUUUUCUUGUUGACUGAUUUCUUGUUGACUGUUUUUUGUUGACUGUUUUGAUGUUGACUGUUUUCUUGCUGACUGUUUUCUUGCUGACUGUUUAUGUUUGAGUGUUUUCUUGCUUGUGUCGGCAGUCGUGGCCAAAGGAGGAUUCAGACAAUUUUCCGAACUUUCUGGUUGGUUUCUACUGUCCGAUAUUGUAGCACGCUAACUUUGUUUGGGCUCCUGAACGACACGGGGGAGCAGCGUCUGCCUCACAACCAAUCAGGUUAGAGGAGGUGGAGAACGGCUUUGUUUACAGUCAGAAAGAGCGGACUGCUCAAAAAUGUUCAAAUGUUGACGACACAGACAGAAGAGAACACAGAGAUAUCGAUAUAUUACCAAAUAAUCAAUAACUAAUAACUAUUGACUGAUAUUAGAAGACAAAUAAAGAUGCUUCUUUAACAGAUUCCUGUCUACCCCACCUUUAAUACUUCUUGAUAAAUAUAUUGAUCUGUUUGAUUAUCGGUCCAUAUUGAGGACAUGUGGAUGGACAGGUGUCUCUCUCCUGUCUCUCGUCCUUUAAUCCUCCAGUCUGUAUUAAACUCAGAUUCACAUUAUUAGAUCAGUUAAACUGGAUUCCUCUGCUCUCAGACUUCCAGCCUCUGUUUUAACCUUUGCUCUCAGCCUCUCUCCUCUCGCACCAUCACCACACUCAGCAGUUUGGACCUGAAUAAUCAGCCAAUAAAACUGUAAAUCAAGCUGCUCUGGACGGCUCUUCGAUGGCUCUUCGAUGGCUCUGCGCUGGUUAACCCCAAAUCCGA